rnacentral:lncRNA from 1 species
AAAAUAUACAGCAGUAUGAAACAAAACAACCCAACCAAUUAACGAAUAAAAUUGAUACAUAUUAUAAACAUAUGAGUAAUAAUAAUGUAGUAGUAAAAGGAGGUGAUAAAUUGUGUUUAUCACCAAAUACGCAGAAAGCACAAGGGGCGCAACUGGAACAGGCACCCCAACAACAUUUUCUAAACAAGGUGCCUAUCAUAUCAGCUCCCGUGUCAGUUCGCGUACCACCUCCUGAAUCAACUAAUAAGUUGAUAACUAAAGAAACAGAUGUAGAAACAGAUGUAGCGACAGAUGUAGCGACAGAUGUAGCGACAGAUGUAGCAACCAAUGAGAACAAAAACUAUAAAGUGAAAAAUGAAGAGAUGCUAAAAAAUUUAAUCCAAACUGUUAAAUAUAUAAUUAUAGAAAAAAUGAACAGCUUUAAAAUAGAAGAAGUCAUAAAUAUUUUAUUCGCAUCAUUAAAUAGAAAUAUUAUAAUUAAUAAACAAUUUUUUAAUUUUUUAUUAAAAAAAAGAAUAAACAUUAGUGAUUACAUGAAUAUUUACAUAAAAACGGACUACAGGAUUGAUGGGUUGAAAAAUAGUCAAACUGAACAUUUGAAAGAUAGCGAAGAAGUAAUAAGCAAUGGUACCACACAUAUUGCAGGAGUGGAAAAGACGUGUAAACAACGUGACGAAUAUAUUUUGAAAGUGAACAAAAAAUGGACUACUACGAUUGGUGCUAGUGCUAGUUCUAUAAGUACCAAUAUAGACGACAGUGAUUUUAUUAAAAGUCUAAUAAAUGAAUUAACGUAUCGUAACGACUGUUUAAGCAUAAAACAAAUAAUAGUUUUAAUAUAUUUAUUAGGUAAAUCCAAUGUGAUGUUUUUAAAUUUUGAAAAGAUAAUACUAAAAAGAUUAGUAUGUAUAAAUAAAAAUUUAGAUAAAAAUGAAGUUAUGUUUUUAUAUCAACAUUUAUUUUUAAGGACUUGUUUAUUUAAUGUGUUAAAAAAUUAUCCUAGUAAAAUUGUGUAUAAACAAGAUAAAGAAAUUAGUAUCAUUUUUGAAGAAAAAAAAAAUGAUUAUUUAAAAAAA